rnacentral:rRNA from 1 species
CCUACGGGAUGCUGCAGUGAGGAAUAUUGGUCAAUGGACGAGAGUCUGAACCAGCCAAGUAGCGUGAAGGAUGACUGCCCUAUGGGUUGUAAACUUCUUUUAUAUGGGAAUAAAAUGUUCCACGUGUGGGAUUUUGUAUGUACCAUAUGAAUAAGGAUCGGCUAACUCCGUGCCAGCAGCCGCGGUAAUACGGAGGUACCUAGCGUUAUCCGGAUUUCUUGGGUUUAAAGGGAGCGUAGGUGGAUUGUUAAGUCAGUUGUGAAAGUUUGCGGCUCAACCGUAAAAUUGCAGUUGAAACUGGCAGUCUUGAGGACAGUAGAGGUGGGCGGAAUUCGUGGUGUAGCGGUGAAAUGCUUAGAUAUCACGAAGAACUCCGAUUGCGAAGGCAGUUCACUGGACUGCAACUGACACUGAGGCUCGAAAGUGUGGGUAUCAAACAGGAUUAGAUACCCUUGUAGUC